rnacentral:rRNA from 1 species
CCUACGGGGAGCAGCAGUGAGGAAUAUUGGUCAAUGGGCUUACGCCUGAACCAGCCAAGUCGCGUGAGGGAAGACUGUCCUAUGGGUUGUAAACCUCUUUUGUAAGGGAGCAACGCCGGCUACGUGUAGCGGGACGGAGAGUACCCGGAGAAAAAGCAUCGGCUAACUCCGUGCCAGCAGCCGCGGUAAUACGGAGGAUGCGAGCGUUAUCCGGAUUUAUUGGGUUUAAAGGGUGCGCAGGCGGAAUGCCAAGUCAGCGGUAAAAUCGCGGGGCUCAACCCCGCUCGGCCGUUGAAACUGGCGUGCUUGAGUGAGCGAGAAGUAUGCGGAAUGCGUGGUGUAGCGGUGAAAUGCAUAGAUAUCACGCAGAACGCCGAUUGCGAAGGCAGCAUACCGGCGCCCAACUGACGCUGAGGCACGAAAGCGUGGGUAUCGAACAGGAUUAGAUACCCUAGUAGUC